rnacentral:lncRNA from 1 species
CACUUGUGGGGGGUGGGGGUGGGUUACCAGCCAACCAUAAGGUGUCAUCACAGGAACAAGUUUCUUAGGAGAAAUCUUUAAAAGCACCUGGUCGGAACCUAGCUGAGUAUGAGGGAAGAGAAGUACGGUUUACUCCUCAGGCAAUACAUUAUCUGCCAGAUCACCUUUGCUCAAAUCUUGCCCAUUACUUGGCAAGUGAAGCAGCAAGUAUAGGGCAAUCCUGCCCUCUUUUCACUUACAGAACUACUUGGCUGCAGCAAUUGUCUCCUUUCACUUGCCAGGUCCACUGUUCCCCUUUACAAAUAAGCAGUACCAGCUCCCAUAUAAAUAUCCAUCAGGCCCACCAUCUCCUCCAUCACCUGCCCUAUUCCUCAGCUCACCUGCACAGCACAACUCAAGAAAGAGCCAUUUGCAUUAAACACCCUCCCCUCCCAUUCUGUCCUCCCUCCUCCAGACUUCAGAUGUCACUGUUCUGCGGAAUUGCCCUUGACAAGUUCACCAGUGGCCUCCACACUGCUGAAUCCAGUGGUUAAUUCUCAGCUCUCAUCUUGACCUCUCAGCAGCCUCAGACACAGCUGUUCCCUCCCUCCUCCUUGAAACCAUUUAGCCUGUGGACACCACCCUCUCCUGGUUUGCCUCCUGCCCCUCUGGCUACUCAUGGGUCUCCAUGGUGGCUCUUAUCCUUCAACAGACUAAGUGUUUGAGGAUCCUCCUGCCCCCUCAGUCCCUGGACCCUCCCUCUUCUCUCCACGCUCUCUCCCACAGAGACCUUAUCCAGGCUCAUGGCCUUGGAAUCUUCCAAACUGCUUCUCCAGCCUGAUUUCUCCCAGGCUCCAGACUUGACUUUGUAGGUGGGUACUUGACAUCCUCUCUGCUGGUUUCCUCAGCACCUCCAGCACAACCUAAAACUGAACUAGACUUCCUCUCACCUGCCCUUGAUACAGUCUCCACCUAGCCAUAGAAUUUUCCAAAGACAUUAUAAAUUACGCUGGUAGUCAACUGGUUAGGACUCUGCACUUUCACUGCUCUGUCCGGGGUUCCUCAUGUACUUCACUGGGUUUAACAGUGGUUUCUUAAUGCUUAACGGAGGUUGAGAACAUUUAAAAAUAUUUAAUGGGCCAGGACAACAUGGCAGCCCCCAUCCUUGGCUCUCUGCUGGGGAUUGUCCAGCAGGUUGUUCCUUCAUCAACUUCAGGCCAAGUUUGAAGUUACUAUAUGGACUGGAAAAUACACAUCUUCAGAAUAGAACAAAAAG